CAAAAGGGCCGAAACGAAGGGCCCUUUCCUUUCUCCCAGAACAAGAAGCAGACCCAGGGAGAAGUGACCAAGUGUCUCAAGCAACCUCCCGUCCUCCCCGCCGCCGCUUCCUCGUUUCUCUCCUCCAAUCCACACCCACCCACCACUCUCCUCUUCUCUUCUCUCGAAAAAAGAACCAGCUAGCGAGCAAUCCAUAUCCCCGCCAUGUCCGCGUCGCCGGAGUUCUACAAGCCAGCGCCGCCGGCGUUCUCGCCGCCGACGCUCCUCCUGCACGGGGCAGGGGCGGACGACAGCGCCGCCGCCGCGACCAUGUGGCAGGAGGAUCAGGACUACCGCUGCCGGACGCCGACGGGCGGCGAGAGCCAGGUGAAGCCGCCGGGGACGUGCCCGCCGGCGCCGCGGAAGCCGCGGGCGCCCGCGGCGUGCCGGAAGCGCCUGUUCG
rnacentral:misc_RNA from 1 species